AGAGCGAACGCUGGCGGCAGGCCUAACACAUGCAAGUCGAACGGACCCUUCGGGGUUAGUGGCGGACGGGUGAGUAACACGUGGGAACGUGCCUUUAGGUUCGGAAUAGCUCCUGGAAACGGGUGGUAAUGCCGAAUGUGCCCUUCGGGGGAAAGAUUUAUCGCCUUUAGAGCGGCCCGCGUCUGAUUAGCUUGUUGGUGAGGUAAUGGCUCACCAAGGCUACGAUCAGUAGCUGGUCUGAGAGGAUGACCAGCCACAUUGGGACUGAGACACGGCCCAAACUCCUACGGGAGGCAGCAGUGGGGAAUCUUGCGCAAUGGGCGAAAGCCUGACGCAGCCAUGCCGCGUGUAUGAUGAAGGUCUUAGGAAUUGUAAAAUACUUUCACCGGUGAAGAUAAUGACUGUAGCCGGAGAAGAAGCCCGGCUAACUUCGUGCCAGCAGCCGACGA
rnacentral:rRNA from 1 species